AACGAACGCUGGCGGCGUGGAUAAGACAUGCAAGUCGAACGGGACAUUAUUUGUAGCAAUACAAAUGAUGUUCAGUGGCGCAAGGGUGUGUAACACGUGGGCAAUCUACCGGAAAGUGGGGAAUAGCUCGCCGAAAGGCGAAUUAAUACCGCAUAUGGCCAGGGAAGACCUCUUCCCGCAGCCAAAGCUGGGGCAACCUAGCGCUUACCGAUGAGCCCGCGGCCUANCAGCUAGUUGGCGGGGUAACGGCCCACCAAGGCGAUGACGGGUAGCUGGUCUGAGAGGACGACCAGUCACACUGGAACUGAGACACGGUCCAGACACCUACGGGUGGCAGCAGUCGAGAAUUUUUCUCAAUGGGGGAAACCCUGAAGGAGCGACGCCGCGUGGAGGAUGAAGGUCUUCGGGUUGUAAACUCCUGUCAUUUGAGAACAAGGUGCACCGGUUAACUGCCGGUGCAUUGAUAGUAUCAGAAGAGGAAGAGAC
rnacentral:rRNA from 1 species